rnacentral:rRNA from 1 species
UACAGAGGUCUCAAGCGUUGUUCGGAUUCAUUGGGCGUAAAGGGUGCGUAGGUGGUACGCCGUGAGUCAGGUGUGAAAUUUCGGAAGCUUAACUCCGAAACUGCAUUUGAUACGUGCGGUGCUUUGAGGACUGGAGAAGGAGACUGGAAUUCACGGUGAUAGCAGUAGAAAUGCGUAGAUAGUCCGUGAGGAAUGAACCAGUGGCGGAAGGCGGGAUCGUCUGGACCA